rnacentral:rRNA from 1 species
UACGUAUGUCGCAAGCGUUAUCCGGAUUUAUUGGGCGUAAAGCGCGUCUAGGCGGUUUAGUAAGUCUGAUGUGAAAAUGCGGGGCUCAACCCCGUAUUGCGUUGGAAACUGCUAGACUAGAGUACUGGAGAGGUAGGCGGAACUCCAAGUGUAGAGGUGAAAUUCGUAGAUAUUUGUAGGAAUGCCGGUGGGGAAACCGGCCUACUGGACCGAUACUGACGCUAAAGUGCGAAAGCGUGGGGAGCAAACAGG